AAAAGAAUUUCUGCUUACAUUGUUGAUAUUAUGCAAUUUGAUUAAGAGGAUCAUGGACUGAAAUAAUGAUACAACGUGUCAAAUUCUAUCAAGGGGGAGACGUGUUUGAUGUUUCUUGUAUAUUGAAAUAAAAAAAUGUAUAUAUAGUGUUGACCUCUUUAGUCCAGUCAGUCCUUUUUAUUAAAUUUUAAGGCAUAAUGCUGUUUCUGAGACUCCUUCAAGAUGUCAUAUCAACUAUUAUAAUUUAGGAAGAGAAUGCUAGUAUUAGUUAGGCAAAACAAGUUGCCCAAAGGGUUUUAGAUACAGGAAAAACAGGACUCCUUCAAUAUAUAUCCCCUCUUGCAUUGCUGUCAUCCAUUCUGCAAUGCCCCUGACUGUGCCCUUGUCAUAGGAUUCAAAUGGUCUGUUUUUCAUACUAUUCGUUGAAUUAGAUUUCAGUGUCUCUUGCCUGAGGGGGCAGUGUGUUUGCACGUAAGGUAUUUGAUACAAUGUUUCGUUUAGGUUUCUGUUUUCUGUUUUGGGGCUUUUAGUAGUGUUGCCUCUGUCUAUAUAAAAAAUGUGCCAUUCUUAGGUAUAGAGGAUCUAUCAGACUUCUAUGACCAUUACUAGCUGAACAUAAGGGUUUGUAAUAGGAACAUAUAUGAACUUAAAGGGAUGCUUAUUAUAUAUUUACAUUGUUUAUUUAAUCUAAUUAACUAAAUCAUUAAUUUGCUUUGAUGUUGUGUUCAGCAGGCGGUUAGCAGUUAGUUUCCUGAUUCAUUAUGUUAUUGCUGGUCAUUCUAUUGAUAUCUGCUUAUUUGAUGCUAACUCUUAUAUGUAUUAUUAAGGAUGUGGAUUAAGGAUGUGGCCAGGGGAAAGAGUGAAUCUGCGUCUCAUUGGCUAAAAUUUUUCUCAAAGUUACAGCUGUCCUCCAACGUUUGUCAGAAUAUGAGGCAGUCAAUAUUAAACUACAAGUCUUUAUAGUCGUUGAUACAUCAGAAACUGUUGAGCAUAAUGUGUUUUCAUGGGAAAUCUUAUGGGUCAAUCUUCUAAUAUUGAUCAUGUUUUUACUGGUCAAAUUAGGAAUAUUUUGGAUAGUCAAUAUGACUUUUGUGUCUGAUUUACUUUAUACUUUAUUUUUUGAACUUGAGUAAACUUUGAUUCAGUUUCAUUAAUAUUUUGUGUAAGAUAUCUUUCAUUUGUAGAAGAUUUUCAAAUAAAAGGUAACAGAGUAAACUGAGCC